UUACAGGCAUGAGCCGCCAUGCCCAACCCCAGGCUAGUCUUGAACUCCCGGGCUCAAGUGAUCCUCCUGCCUUGGCAGAGCAUCAUAUUCUGAUCAACACUAAGUCAGGAGCAAAUGCCUAAGAGGACCCUUGUUGUUCCCUGAUAGGACUCCCUGCCUUUGCUCCGGGUUGCAACCUCUACCUGGUUAACCCUCAUAAGGCUUAGUACCACUCUGCCUGCCCACAUCCUGCUCUGUCCUUCAAGGCUCAGGAUUAAGGCCACCUCCUCCAAGGAGUCCUCCUGGGAGAGUACUGAGUCCCACGGCCCUAUGUGGAAUUCUCAAAUGGUACUCCCCUAUAGUAACAAGCACCCUGAUCACUUUUUGAGAAAGCAUUAGGUGCCAAGCACUUCACAAGCAUUAUUGAAUUCACACAAGAACUCUGCUGUUGUUAAUUGGUUUGAUUUUGGGAAGGGGAAACUGAGGCAGAGUAUACAGUCAUUUGCCCAAGGUCACACACCUAGGAAGUGCUGGAGCUGGGGCUGCAAGCAGGAUCUGUAUAACUUCAAGACCUGCGCUGGUAACCAAUGUGUUGGCGCUGUCCAGCCCAGCCCCCCGGGGUGACCACUGGCUCUGUUCCCAGCUCAACUGCCCCCUCUCCCUUCCCCAGGAGCAUCUUGAGGGCCUUGGCCACCUCAGCCCUCAGCAGCACGUGGUUUACAGUAGGCACUCAGCCAUGACGUCUUCAGUCCCUACAGUGUGGGACACAGAAGCUCCAGAUGCCAGGCUCAGAAAGCCGGAAGAAGUUCUUAUCCGGCUGGAUUCAGUCUUCCCUAUCUGUAGUGGAGACUAUUGUCUGCCCUGGUGUCUUUUCUAGCUGCACAUAUGAUCACCUGGUAUAAAGACAUUUCCCAGCCUCUCUGGCAGCUGCAUGUGGUCAUGUGACUACGUUCAGGCCAACAAAAGAACAGGCUAACAUCAGGAUCUAUCUCGAAGCCAGACCUAAAGGGGACUCCCCAAUGCUUGCUGGACACCUGAGGGAGGCACCCCAGCUGCUCACCUGGUGAUCUUGGGCAGGGAGACGAGCUUGCCUGCGGUGGUGGCGGCGUGGAAGCUGUGGGCGCCAAAGGUCUCCAUGGCGAUGACAGGCACGUCCCCCCAGCCCACCUCCUGCAGCCCCUGGACCACUCCACACAGCAGGCCCCCACCGCCCACUGACAGCGCGAUGGCCCCCGGCUUUUCCCACAGUGCCUCCUUCAGCUCUUUCACGAUGGAAGCGUGGCCUUCCCUGGAGGGUGGGGAGAGGGGGUGGCGGGUCAGGGCUAGGCUUCCUGGAGACACCAGCUCAGGUUUGCACCAGCCUCAUCCCAGCUGAUGGGGCCUGAAGCUACUUCCCUCCCCACUCGCCACCUCGGCUUCCAGCUGCCAGCAUCUGUGUCUCUACCUGAGGACUUUCUCUGGCCACCUGAGCUACCUGCAAACAGAGUCAGGAGAUGGCAGCCCCUUAGAGGAGCCCUCAACCAAUGGCUGCGGGUCGGCGAACAAACUCCCCUGCUCCUUCUCCCAGGGAGAGGGAAACUGUGGCCCACCUUCUAUACUGGCUCCCAGGGUCCCCAAGGGAUUAAGCUCCAGCCACCCACAGUGGCCACCUACCCUUGAAAGUCCCCUUCCUGACAUUUUGGGCUGGACGAUAGAAAAAGAAAAAAGAAAAAAGCAAGCCCCCUGCCUUCCCUGGCUCACUUCCCCACUCCCCCACUGAAUCACCUCCCAAAUAAACUCCUUUCCCUGAAA